AUAAGUCUUCUGCAGCUUUGUGAAUAUGGAAUACUUCAUCUCUAAAGAGAGCCAAGCAGGAGCUGCUUUGAAGUGCAAGUUUCCAAAGGUUCAAAGCUGUCGCAUCACUAUUUAGGACUCCAUGGCACAAAAUAAAUCCAAAAAUAAUCCAUUUUUCCAUUGCAUCCAGAGAGAGGUAUUCACAUGGCAUCGUGUCAGACUGUGCAGGGUUAAGCAUUGUACUAGGUGCACUGAUGAGGCUCAGUAGUUGUGCGUUUCUCCACUGGUCAGCCGAGAGAUUUCUUCGAGGAUAGACCAUCUGGAGUGAAAUCAGAGCAUCCGAAAGGGAUUUACUGUGGGGUACAAAUUCCUCCAUCAUUUUCUUUAAAGGGUUUUCAUAAUCCACAAUCAUCUGGCCAAGGCGUGGAUAUUCUCUGUCACUCGCUCCAUGUGUCAUUUCAUGAGCAUAGUUAUACAAUCCAAUGAUAGCCUUCCUUUCUUCAAUUCGAGACAGCAGUAUCAUUAGUGUAGUGUAGGUUAUAAUCAAGUCCAGGUAGUUCUUCGUCAAAUCAAAGUUUACAGUAAUAUCAAAGAAGACUUGGCAAACAUCAAUAGUGUUCAGCAGCUCGCAAACAUGGUCCUUAAAUUCCAUAACAUCAACAAACGUGAAGUAGUACAACGCCAGGUUCUUCAAAAUCUCUGACUUCUCUUUCUGUAGCUGAGCAAGCUGUUGAUUGUUGUUGCGUGUUUCUACCGCUGGAAACUUCCUGACUAUGAAUUUGACUGCAGAUUCCAGGUUUUUGUCAAUAAGAUAGGAUGGUUUGGCUUUGGGGUCUCCACAUGCCUUCUUGAUGUUGUAGAGCCGGGUGAGCAUGCCGACGCCCCGGUCGUUUAGGAUGGUCAGCUUCUCGGCCAGCUUCUGCUGGCUCGGCUGAAGCACGGACCGCGACAUCCUGCCCCGCGCCGCGCCCCCGGCCCGGACCCCGCCGCCGCCGCCGCCGCUCGCAGCCCCGCCGUGGCGCGGCCGCCGGCCCGGCGCUGCCUCCCCGCCGCCGCCGCCGUUCUCGCUCGCUGCCUCCGCGGGGCGUGGCCACGGCGCGGCC
rnacentral:lncRNA from 1 species